rnacentral:rRNA from 1 species
GAGCACGUAGGUGGGUUUGUAAGUCAGAUGUGAAAGCCUCCUGUUCAACGGGAGAAUUGCAUCUGAAACUGUGAGUCUUGAGUGUAGGAGGGGAGAAUGGAACUUCUGGUGGAGCGGUGAAAUGCGUAGAUAUCAGAGGGAACGCCGGCGGCGAAAGCGAUUCUCUGGCCUAUUACUGACACUCAGUGUGCGAAAGCUAGGGGAGCAAACGGGAUUAGAUACCCCGGUAGUCCUAGCCGUAAACGAUGGGCACUAAGUAGAGGGGU